rnacentral:rRNA from 1 species
AGAGCUCAAAUUUAAAAUCUGGCGGUGUAUUCCGUCCGAGUUGUAGUCUAGAGAAGCAUCAUCCGCGUCGGACCAUGUACAAGUCUCUUGGAACAGAGCGUCAUAGAGGGUGAGAAUCCCGUCCUUGACAUGGACUCCCGGUGCUUUGUGUUGUGCUCUCGACGAGUCGAGUUGUUUGGGAAUGCAGCUCAAAAUGGGUGGUAAAUUCCAUCUAAAGCUAAAUAUUGGCGAGAGACCGAUAGCGAA